AUUUAUUUAAUAUAUAAGUAUAUUUGACUUCCAAUCAAAAAGUUUGUUAAAGACAAAAUAAAUA
rnacentral:tRNA from 1 species